rnacentral:rRNA from 1 species
GAUGAACGCUGGCGGCGUGCCUAAUACAUGCAAGUCGAGCGAACCACUUCGGUGGUGAGCGGCGAACGGGUGAGUAACACGUAGGUGAUCUGCCCAUCAGACGGGGACAACGAUUGGAAACGAUCGCUAAUACCGGAUAGGACGAAAGUUUAAAGGUGCUUCUGGCACCGCUGAUGGAUGAGCCUGCGGCGCAUUAGCUAGUUGGUAGGGUAAAGGCCUACCAAGGCGACGAUGCGUAGCCGACCUGAGAGGGUGAACGGCCCCACUGGGACUGAGACACGGCCCAGACUCCUACGGGAGGCAGCAGUAGGGAAUCUUCGGCAAUGGGCGAAAGCCUGACUGAGCAACGCCGCGUGAAUGAUGAAGGCCUUCGGGUUGUAAAAUUCUGUUAUAAGGGAAGAACGACUUUAGUAGGAAAUGGCUAGAGUGUGACGGUACCUUAUGAGAAAGCCACGGCUAACUACGUGCCAGCAGCCGCGGUAA